GACACACACACACUCACAGCCACAAAAUCUAUAAAAUAUGACCCCAUGUUUGUGCAGCUCAUAGAUGCAUAUGCUGAACUGUUGCAUGAACAACAAGAGAUGGUCAACCCAACUUCGGAUGAAGCCUCAUUCAUCUUCACGAGCAUGUGUUUGAAAGUGAUACGAGAGUACCAUCCUCGCAAAAGGAGUAAACACAUUGAUGCACAUGUCAAAAACUACCAAGGAGAGAGAUACCUACUAUUCCCAUUGCAUCAUGAGUACCACUGGACGAUAGUUGUGUAUGAUGCUAAAGACAAUUUGUGGAGGCAUUACAAC